AAAACAUACUUGAGACUCCCUAAGAUGCUGCUGUUGUGCUGCCUAAUCCUCCUGAUGUACUCAUAGGGUAGAUAAGGUGAUUGGCAUAGAACAAUGAUGUUAAAACUUGGAAUUUUUACUCUAUUUGAUUUAAAGAGUAAAACCAACUCAGAUUAUUUUUGUUUGGAAAAGCUAAAAAGUAACAAUAUGUGUUGCUUUGUGUUGUCUUUAAAAAAAAAUAGUCCAAAACAUCCUGCACACUGGCUCUAUGCACGUAUUGAAAGGAAUUGCUUAUAUGAUACAAAUCCCCUUUCUUUCACUUAAAAAAAAAAAAUCGCUUCUCUUUUCCCAAAAGCUUUCCUCGCUUUACAGUGCUAAAAUAUGGUGCCUCUACUUAUUUUCUUUAGUCAGUUCUGUUUGUUUGUAAUGUGAGGAAAGUUUGAUUCUUAAUGUUGGUAUGGUGUUACUGUGACCCCAUUUGCUUGUGUAAUGGUGUUGCUGACUUCCACUGUAGGUGCAGUCCUAUUUAGAAGUAAAUGUCCAUCUGCAGUGUUGUAUUUGUUGUCGCAGCUGUCAUAGAAUGAGUGACAAUUCAGUUGCCAGUUUCACUUUUUGUCCACCCACUGACAGUAUUUGGAAGAUCUUCAAAUUGAAUCAGUACACAGGCUCCUCAAACAAAAGCUGUGAAAGCAAACUGGGAAAUAAACAGUGGUUUUGUUCCUUCAAAAUGUCAGGCAUUCAAAGAAGUAGUCUAAACUUACACUGGAUAAUUUUUCUACUCACAUCUUUCCAUGCUGCUCUGUGUUGCUUUGUCUUCCUUUUAGUAUGUUAAUAACUUUGAUUUUUUUUUUCUUUAUAAAACUGGGGGUUUUUUCCUCUGUACAAUCAUAGAAAGCAGAUAUUUCAGGAGUAUGUUAGUCACAAUAAAAAUUAUCUUCAUCCUCUCUUGUUCAGAUUGGGUUUUUGUGUUUGCAUAAUACACAUAUUUAGUUUCAGGCUAACAAAAAUUGAGUCAGCAGUUUUGACUGUACAGCAAUUCUGCCUGCUCUGUGUUGUUUGUAAACAGAGGAUCAAACCCUCAGCCAUGGAUAUGGAUAGUACAUAUUGAGGAGUGAUUUGCCCAGAUUUCAUGUGAGCUGCCAGAUGCUGUUGGUUUAUAUUCACUGCAUUCUUAACUCAUUAUUUCUGCACAGAGCAGUUUGAUUCGUGGUUAUAAAUUUCGACCAAGUUGUGUGUGCAAAUCAUUUACUAGAGUAGGCUUGUCCUUUUAAACUGCACUGGACACAUCUGACAGUUUAUAAAAUGCUCAUUGUAUUAGCAGAAAUUCUCAGAUGCUAAAACAAUUGCUCUGGGGAUAACAACUGUACUACUUGGAUGUAAUUUUAUUGGGCAGAUGUUAUCAGGAAGAAUUUGGAGUUUUGUUCUGAAAAAUAUUCUGUAAAACAAAUACAGAGUGAUGUGCCCAUGAUCACACAGGAAGUCUAUAGCUGAGUACGGUGUUGAACCUAACAUCUGCCAAAGUUUAUUUUAGGCUAUCCUUCCUGUUAGGAUUUUACAUUAUUUAUGUUCUAGAGAUCGUAUCAGCUGUGUGGGUAUAAAGAUGGAUUCUUGUUUUGAUUUUUAAUUGUAAAGUCCUUAAUUUUCAAUGCUCAUUUUUGUUUAUAAACAGUAACUAGUAAUUUCAUCGAAGUGUGGGGUUUUUUUUUCCUUUUUCCAGUUUUAGACUGUUGUUCUUUUGUCCAAAGAACUCUACAGGUCACUUAUUUUUCAAUUAUGUGAUGCUGUAAAGACACAUUUGAGAUUCAUUCCUUGUAGCUUAUCUUGUAGCAUCCUUAGGUGUUGAAAUACUGGAAAGAAAAUAACUUUUGAAUAACUUUUUGCAAGUAAGUAGCUUUUCAAGUGCAAACAUAAUAAAAUGUUAAACCUUGAUGUGUUUCUUUAACAAGUGACUUGUGUUUUGAAUCAGCUGUGUGUCUUAGAGGGGAGGGAUGGCAAGGGAUGUGCACCUUUUCUCCUAAUAACUUUUAAAUUAUGUUUUUCAGCAUUCCAGGCUAUAGUUCUUGAUGGUUUGUGAGUGCUGUUACGUAAGCACUGUAGCAGUACAGACAAGGUUCUGUAUUUUGCAGUGUUCAAAGAAUAAAGAUGUUGGAUAAGUGGUGAUGAUGUACUCUUUCUAGGCUCAUCUUUUAGAUUUGCUCCAAUUUGCUGUUCUUGUCAAAGCUGUUUCUUAUGGCAAAGAUGUCAGCUAUCAUGUUUCAUUCCUUAAUGUCCUUUGUUCAUGUGGAGGUUGGUUAUUUAUGGCUGUCCGCUGAAAACAGUAGUAACAUCUUUAUUUUGUAUUAGAUCUGAAAGCAUGUAAGAUCAUGGGGCUUUUUUAUCAGGUUAACUUCCUCUUAAUAAGUUUGAGUCUCACAGGUGCAAAAUCACAGUUUUACAAUCCUCUUUUAAAAUGUUGAAAUUCAAUGAGAAAUUUUUAUGUAGAAGAGAUUAAGUGGUGAUCUCAUUCUUUCUCAUCUCUAAUAGAGAGGCUAAUGGAAAGAAUUGCUUUUUCUUACCAAACAUCUUACACAGCAAUGUCUUUUUUCAUGUACCUGCACACUGCUAUUCUGGUGUGCCUGGCUGCCUUUUAUUGAGUGGCACCUGACUUCGUGUGGAUAAUUGCCUCUGUGUCUUUUAGGUGGGAACAGGGUGUUCUCAGCGCAGGAAAGCAAAUCAAACACGUCUCCCGCUGCCUGGUAGCAGAUGGUGAUGGUCUUAGAGGGAGCAUGGUACAUUACAAUUUUCCAUCUUUCCAGUAGGUGCAGCUGUGACAUUGUAUAAAAUCAGGGCUUCAAUAAGAUAAACAGGGAAACUCCUUGUUCACACAUUUGUUUAUUUUAUGCUUGAGGUUGGUUUAUAUGAUCCUUUAUAUCUUCCUUGGGCAUGGACACUGAAGUUGGUGAGGUCCGUAUUCCAUCCCCAGUUUCCAGAUUACUGAGUACUUUGCCCCAUAUUCUUUUUUCAAGAACAUUUAUGUUUCGGGCCUUCAAACAACAUUUUCUUUUGUAGAAAUCCAGUGUGAAAUUGCUGCAAAAGCAGAGAUGAUUAUACAAAGAGUAGUGCUGAAUUCACGGCCUGGUAAGAAUGGAGUGCCAGUGGCUGAAAACUUCCGACUGGAGCAAAGUACAAUAGCAGAUACAGUCCAAGCAGGACAAGUGCGUGUUAAAACUCUCUACCUCUCAGUGGACCCCUACAUGCGCUGCCGAAUGAACGAGGACACGGGCUCAGAUUACCUGCAGCCCUGGCAGCUGUCUGAAGUUGCUGAUGGUGGGGGCAUCGGGGUUGUGGAGGAGAGCAAGCACGAUAACCUUGCUAAAGGAGACUUUGUAACUUCCUUCACUUGGCCCUGGCAGACAGUGGCAAUUCUGGAUGGAAGCUUGCUACAAAAGCUUGUUCCACAACUUGUAAAUGGACGCCUUUCCUACUUUCUGGGUGCAGCUGGCAUCACGGGACUGACGGCCCUGUUGGGAAUCAGGGAGAAAGGACAUGUGACUGCAGGUGCAAAUCAGACCAUGGUGGUGAGUGGAGCAGCCGGUGCCUGUGGCUCUUUGGCCGGCCAGAUUGGCCGUCUGGAGGGCUGCUCUAGAGUGGUGGGGAUUGCUGGCACAGAUGAGAAGUGCUCCAUUUUGGUCCAAGAAAUGGGGUUUGAUGCUGCUAUCAAUUACAAGAAGGAGGAUGUGGCAAAACAGCUACGUGAACUCUGCCCAGGUGGUGUGGAUGUUUACUUUGACAAUGUUGGUGGAGACAUCAGUGAUACAGUUAUAAGUCAGAUGAAUCAGAACAGCCAUAUCAUCCUGUGUGGACAGAUUUCUCAGUAUAACAAAGAUGUGCCUUAUCCCCCUCCACUGCCUCCUGACAUAGAAAAAAUACAGAAAGAAAGGAACAUCACAAGGGAAAGAUUCUUAGUGUUGAACUACAUGGACAAACAAGAAGCUAGUGUAUUACAACUCUGCCAGUGGAUCCAAGAGGGUAAACUGAAGGAUUGAAGAGACUUUUUAAAAAAUGUGUCAGAGAGACCGUGGUAGAAGGCUUAGCAAACAUCGGUGCUGCUUUCCAGUCCAUGAUGAAUGGAGGCAAUAUUGGAAA